rnacentral:rRNA from 1 species
GGGGAAUAUUGCGCAAUGGAGGAAACUCUGACGCAGUGACGCCGCGUAUAGGAAGAAGGUUUUCGGAUUGUAAACUAUUGUCGUGAGGGAAGAAGAUGACAGUACCUCAGGAGGAAGCUCCGGCUAACUAU